rnacentral:rRNA from 1 species
AACGAACGCUGGCGGCAUGCCUAACACAUGCAAGUCGAACGAGACCUUCGGGUCUAGUGGCGCACGGGUGCGUAACGCGUGGGAACCUGCCCUUAGGUUCGGAAUAACUCCCCGAAAGGGGUGCUAAUACCGGAUAAUGUCUUCGGACCAAAGAUUUAUCGCCUUUGGAUGGGCCCGCGUUGGAUUAGCUAGUUGGUAGGGUAAAAGCCUACCAAGGCGACGAUCCAUAGCUGGUCUGAGAGGAUGAUCAGCCACACUGGGACUGAGACACGGCCCAGACACGGCCUGAACGCGCCAGGGGGUGAUAGUGUGCAAGGGUGGAGGGCUGGAACCUUCGAUUACGGGGGAGGAAUGUAGCAGUCAGGGUGGUAUAGUCACCUGACACGGGAUGGCAAUGACAGGAGCGAAUGAAUAAGCGCAGCCUACAUCCGUG